rnacentral:pre_miRNA from 1 species
UUGGCUUAAAUUAAUGUAGGUCCUACACUUUAAAAAUAGAACACACAUAAAAUGGUGGAACAUACAUUAAUUUCAUUCAA